GAUGUGCUGGUAGCACCCAGCAGCCAGGCUGCAAACCCUGUGUUCACACUUGGUAGUGGUGUUAUGAGAGUGCAAAAUUUUCCCCCAACUCACAGAUCCAAGCAGGACUGAUUCCAUGAGAGAUAGUGACACCAUGCCAACUUGAACAAUUCCAUAGAACAGCAACCCUCACCUGUCUCUAUGAGCUUCUUCCAAAGCAAGACACUGUGAGUGAAGGCAACCUUUGUCUGAGGAGCAAAGUGGCUGAGGAGCCUCCUGCCAGGGCCUGAGAAGCCCACUGAUGGCUCUAUUCAGUGUCCAGGCCCCUUCUUGUAAAAUCUGGUUGCUUCAGAUUCGGGUAAUCCAGGUAACUGCUUC